GUAGGUGAACCUGCGGAAGGAUCAUUAUCACGUAUCCACGUAUAAACCAAACGCGAACUGUCUUCUCUUCAGUGGGUGUGUGUGGGCGCUAGUCGUUCCAGACUUCGGUCUCACCUCAUUGGAGUUUUUCAAUAACCAAUGAAACCCUUCAUUAAUUUAUUUCUAUUUGAACUGAACUGUUUCUUACUCUCUUCGCGGGGAGAAGAAAUGAUAUACGAAACAAAAAAACAACUCUUAGCAACGGAUAUCUUGGUUCUC
rnacentral:misc_RNA from 1 species